rnacentral:tRNA from 1 species
CAAAAUAUAGUUUAAUUUAAAAUUUUAGCUUUGGAAGUUGAUAAUAUAAUAAAUAUUAUUGUUUUGA